UAGCUUGGCCAACUUGUCUGCCGUAAGGCUUUUUUUAAGAGUAAAUUACAUGUUAUCUGUUGAACAAAAAGCACAAAUUAUUAAAGAUUAUCAACGUGCCGAA
rfam:Snodgrassella alvi SCGC AB-598-P14 SCG598P14_112688, whole genome shotgun sequence.